rnacentral:rRNA from 1 species
CAGCCGCCGCGGUAAUACGAAGGGGGCUAGCGUUGCUCGGAAUGACUGGGCGUAAAGGGCGCGUAGGCGGCGGCCAAAGUCAGGCGUGAAAUUCCCGGGCUCAACCUGGGGGCUGCGUUUGAUACUUGGUUGCUUGAGUGGGGAAGAGGGUCGUGGAAUUCCCAGUGUAGAGGUGAAAUUCGUAGAUAUUGGGAAGAACACCGGUGGCGAAGGCGGCGACCUGGUCCUUGACUGACGCUGAGGCGCGAAAGCGUGGGGAGCAAACAGGAUUAGAUACCCCCGUAGUCCCUGUCUCUUAUAC